CAUGCAGUCGAGGGGCAGCGGGGAUAAGCUUGCUUAUCCGCCGGCGACCGGCGCACGGGUGCGCAACGCGUAUAGAAUCUGCCCUGUACUGGGGAAUAGCCCAGAAAAAUUUGGAUUAAUGCCCCAUGGUAUGUUGAAGCGGCAUCGCUUUUACAUUAAAGGCUACGGUACAGGAUGACUAUGCGUCCCAUUAGUUAGUUGGUAAGGUAACGGCUUACCAAGGCAGCGAUGGGUAGGGGCCCUGAGAGGGGGAUCCCCCACACUGGUACUGAAACACGGACCAGACUCCUACGGGAGGCACCAGUGAGGAAUAUUGGACAAUGGGCGGGAGCCUGAUCCAGCCAUGCCGCGUGCAGGAAGACGGUCCUAUGGAUUGUAAACUGCUUUUGUACGGAAAAAACAAGGGGCACGUGUGCCCUUCUGACGGUACCGUAAGAAUAAGGAUCGGCUAAAUCCGUGCCAACACCCGGGGUAGUACGGAGGAUCCAAGCGUUAUCCGAAAUCAUGGCGUUUAAGGGGGCCGUAGGCGGGGCAUUAAUUCAGGGGUGAAAUUCUGCGGCUCACCCGUAAAAUGGCCCUUGAUACUGGUGUUCUUGAGUUAUGGGGAAAUUAACUAAAAAAGGUAUUGUACCGCUGAAUUGCAUAGGUAUAACAUAGGAAAACCCAAUUGCGAGGGUGGGUACCAAACCUUACAACUGACCCUUGAUGGACAAAGCGUGGGGAAGGGAACCAGAUAAAAAUCCCCGGGAAUCCCCGCCGUUACCAAGGGAAACUAAAUUUUCGGAUGCUAUCCUCGGGCGCCCAACCAAACAGAUAAAAUACCCACCUGGGGGUAGGUGCGCCGAGAUAAACCUC
rnacentral:rRNA from 1 species